UUUGUAAAAGUGUUUAAGUGUCUACACACAUUAGAAGCAUCGAAAGCCUUGAGUGAGGAACAAUGAACUUGGUAAUAUUUUUAAGAGCUUCAGAUCUCUCUCUAUCAAAGAACUGGAGUCAGGAUCUUAUAAAUAUUUCUGGGACUAAGGAAAUAAACGGGGUCCGCAGGCCAGGCUUUAUUUAUAAAUUAAGUUGUCUAAAAAUUACUGACGGAUGCAAUGCCAUCACCUCCCAAACAUGCUAAUAUUUGUCUUUCUGUGUUCUUAGCAUCAAUACCAUUCAAAAAUAGACGAACUAAUUGAAGAAACUGUUAAAGAAAUGAUAACACUCUUGGUUGCAAAGUUCGUUACUAUCUUGGAAGGAGUGCUGGCAAAAUUAUCCAGAUAUGACGAAGGGACUUUGUUUUCCUCUUUUCUGUCAUUUACC
rnacentral:sRNA from 1 species